rnacentral:rRNA from 1 species
GUGAGGAAUAUUGCGCAAUGGAGGCAACUCUGACGCAGCCAUGCCGCGUGCAGGAAGAAGGCGCUACGCGUUGUAAACUGCUUUUAACCGGGAAGAAACCCCAGGACGUGUCCUGGGUUGACGGUACCGGAGGAAUAAGCACCGGCUAACUUCGUGCCAGCAGCCGCGGUAAUACGAAGGGUGCAAGCGUUAUCCGGAUUCAUUGGGUUUAAAGGGUGCGUAGGCGGAGCGUUAAGUCAGUGGUGAAAUCCUGCAGCUUAACUGUAGACUUGGCAUUGAUACUGGCGCUCUUGAGUGCGCUUGAAGGGGGCGGAAUGUGCCGUGUAGCGGUGAAAUGCUUAGAUAUGGCACAGAACACCAAUUGCGAAGGCAGCUCACUAAGGCGAUACUGACGCUGAGGCACGAAAGCGUGGGGAUCGAACAGGAUUAGAAACCCUGGUAGUCC